rnacentral:rRNA from 1 species
GACGAACGCUGGCGGCGUGCUUAACACAUGCAAGUCGAACGGUAAGGCCCUUCGGGGAACACGAGUGGCGAACGGGUGAGUAACACGUGGGUGAUCUGCCCUGCACUUCGGGAUAAGCCUGGGAAACUGGGUCUAAUACCGGAUAGGACCCUGGGAUGCAUGUCCUGGGGUGGAAAGCUUUUGCGGUGUGGGAUGGGCCCGCGGCCUAUCAGCUUGUUGGUGGGGUGAUGGCCUACCAAGGCGACGACGGGUAGCCGGCCUGAGAGAGUGACCGGCCACACUGGGACUGAGAUACGGCCCAGACUCCUACGGGAGGCAGCAGUGGGGAAUAUUGCACAAUGGGCGCAAGCCUGAUGCAGCGACGCCGCGUGAGGGAUGACGGCCUUCGGGUUGUAAACCUCUUUCAGCACCGACGAAGCGCAAGUGACGGUAGGUGCAGAAGAAGGACCGGCCAACUACGUGCCAGCAGCCGCGGUAA